AAAAAUGAUUGUUUGAAGAAGAAGAAAAAAAGGAACUUCAAUCGCUUCUGCAGGUUUCUGCAACUGAAGAGUGAUUCAGAGAACAGAGAUGAGGAGCCCCGUGUAUGACGGGGGGCUGCAGCUGUCACCUUCAGCAGAAUCCUCUGGAUCAGAGGCUCCGCCCUCCUCACCUGAUAGGCUCGGCGUGUCAGCCGUGUUUUCCUCUCCGCCGUCCAGAUCACCGAGGGAACCUGACAUCCAAAAAACAGGAUCUAAGAACACCUCGAGCUGAAAUGAGUUCCUGUCCUGGAGCCAAGAAAACUUUAAAGCCUUCACAGAAAAAAGAAAGUAAUCUGGAUUUCUCCUGGAUGGACUGAGAGGUUGAACGUCUUCACAUGACAGCAGCUUCAAUACAAAAUAAAACAAGCUCAAUAUUA